CCUACGGGAGGCAGCAGUAGGGAAUCUUUCACAAUGGGCGAAAGCCUGAUGGAGCAACGCCGCGUGCAGGAUGAAGGCCUUCGGGUUGUAAACUGCUUUUAUAAGCGAGAAAUAUGAUGGUAACUUAUGAAUAAGGAUCGGCUAACUACGUGCCAGCAGCCGCGGUCAUACGUAGGAUCCGAGCAUUAUCCGGAGUGACUGGGUGUAAAGAGUUGCGUAGGUGGCAUAAUAAGAAGCUAGUGAAAUCUGGUGGCUCAACCAUUCAGACUAUUAGCUAAACUGUUAAGCUCGAGACCGUUAGGGGUAACUGGAAUUUCUAGUGUAGGAGUGAAAUGCGUAGAUAUUAGAAGGAACACCAAUAGCGUAGGCAGGUUACUGGGACGGUUCUGACACUAAGGCACGAAAGCGUAGGGAGCAAACGGGAUUAGAUACCCCGGUAGUC
rnacentral:rRNA from 1 species